AGGAGAGUUUGAUCCUGGCUCAGGAUGAACGCUAGCUACAGGCUUAACACAUGCAAGUCGAGGGGCAGCAUGAUCGAAGCUUGCUUUGAUUGAUGGCGACCGGCGCACGGGUGAGUAACGCGUAUCCAACCUUCCCUAUAGUAGAGGAUAGCCCGGCGAAAGUCGGAUUAAUACUCUAUGUUUUCCAAUGCAGACAUCUAAGUUGGAACAAAGGUUCACCGCUAUAGGAUGGGGAUGCGUCUGAUUAGGUUGUUGGCGGGGUAACGGCCCACCAAGCCAACGAUCAGUAGGGGUUCUGAGAGGAAGGUCCCCCACAUUGGAACUGAGACACGGUCCAAACUCCUACGGGAGGCAGCAGUGAGGAAUAUUGGUCAAUGGGCGAGAGCCUGAACCAGCCAAGUAGCGUGCAGGAUGACGGCCCUAUGGGUUGUAAACUGCUUUUAUACGGGGAUAAAGUGAGGGACGUGUCCCUUAUUGUAGGUACCGUAUGAAUAAGGACCGGCUAAUUCCGUGCCAGCAGCCGCGGUAAUACGGAAGGUCCGGGCGUUAUCCGGAUUUAUUGGGUUUAAAGGGAGCGCAGGCCGACUGGUAAGCGUGACGUGAAAUGUAGCCGCUCAACGGCUGAACUGCGUCGCGAACUGUCAGUCUUGAGUGAGUUCGAUGUUGGCGGAAUUCGUGGUGUAGCGGUGAAAUGCUUAGAUAUCACGAAGAACUCCGAUUGCGAAGGCAGCCAACAAGGCCUUUACUGACGCUAAAGCUCGAAGGUGCGGGUAUCGAACAGGAUUAGAUACCCUGGUAGUCCCU
rnacentral:rRNA from 1 species